rnacentral:rRNA from 1 species
GAGAGGGAGAUCCCCCACACUGGUACUGAGACACGGACCAGACUCCUACGGGAGGCAGCAGUGAGGAAUAUUGGACAAUGGAGGCAACUCUGAUCCAGCCAUGCCGCGUGUAGGAAGACUGCCCUAUGGGUUGUAAACUACUUUUAUAGAGGAAGAAACAGUUCCACGUGUGGAACUCUGACGGUACUCUACGAAUAAGGAUCGGCUAACUCCGUGCCAGCAGCCGCGGUAAUACGGAGGAUCCAAGCGUUAUCCGGAAUCAUUGGGUUUAAAGGGUCCGUAGGCGGGUCUGUAAGUCAGUGGUGAAAGUUUUCGGCUCAACCGGAAAAUUGCCAUUGAUACUGCAGGUCUUGAAUCAUUAUGAAGUGGUUAGAAUAAGUAGUGUAGCGGUGAAAUGCAUAGAUAUUACUUAGAAUACCGAUUGCGAAGGCAGAUCACUAAUAAUGUAUUGACGCUAAGGGACGAAAGCGUGGGUAGCGAACAGGAUUAGAUACCCUGGUAGUCCACGCCGUAAACGAUGGUUACUAGCUGUUCGGACUUCGGUCUGAGUGGCUAAGCGAAAGUGAUAAGUAACCCACCUGGGGAGUACGUUCGCAAGAAUGAAACUCAAAGGAAUUGACGGGGGCCCGCACAAGCGGUGGAGCAUGUGGUUUAAUUCGAUGAUACGCGAGGAACCUUACCAGGCUUAAAUGUAGUAUGACAGGUUUAGAGAUAGACUUUUCUUCG